GUGAGGAAUAUUGGACAAUGGGCGCAAGCCUGAUCCAGCCAUGCCGCGUGCAGGAAGACGCAUCUAUGGUGUGUAAACUGCUUUUGUACGGGAAGAAACACUCCCUCGUGAGGGAGCUUGACGGUACCGUAAGAAUAAGGAUCGGCUAACUCCGUGCCAGCAGCCGCGGUAAUACGGAGGAUCCAAGCGUUAUCCGGUAUCAUUGGGUUUAAAGGGUCCGUAGGCGGUUUAAUAAGUCAGUGGUGAAAGCCCAUCGCUCAACGAUGGAACGGCCAUUGAUACUGUUAGACUUGAAUUACAAGGAAGUAACUAGAAUAUGUAGUGUAGCGGUGAAAUGCUUAGAUAUUACAUGGAAUACCAAUUGCGAAGGCAGGUUACUACUUGUGGAUUGACGCUGAUGGACGAAAGCGUGGGGAGCGAACAGGAUUAGAUACCCGAGUAGUCC
rnacentral:rRNA from 1 species